rnacentral:rRNA from 1 species
UACGUAGGGUGCGAGAGUUAUUCGGAAUUACUGGGCGUAAAGCGUGCGCAGGCGGCUUUGCAAGACAGAUGUGAAAUCCCCGGGCUCAACCUGGGAACUGCAUUUGUGACUGCAAGGCUAGAGUACGGCAGAGGGGGAUGGAAUUCCGCGUGUAGCAGUGAAAUGCGUAGAUAUGCGGAGGAACACCAAUGGCGAAGGCAAUCCCCUGGGCCUGUACUGACGCUCAUGCACGAAAGCGUGGGGAGCAAACAGG